rnacentral:rRNA from 1 species
GAUGAACGCUGGCGGCGUGCCUAAUACAUGCAAGUCGAGCGAACAGACGAGGAGCUUGCUCCUCUGACGUUAGCGGCGGACGGGUGAGUAACACGUGGAUAACCUACCUAUAAGACUGGGAUAACUUCGGGAAACCGGAGCUAAUACCGGAUAAUAUAUUGAACCGCAUGGUUCAAUAGUGAAAGACGGUUUUGCUGUCACUUAUAGAUGUAUCCGCGCCGCAUUAGCUAGUUGGUAAGGUAACGGCUUACCAAGGCGACGAUGCGUAGCCGACCUGAGAGCGUGAUCGGCCACACUGGAACUGAGACACGGUCCAGACUCCUACGGGAGGCAGCAGUAGGGAAUCUUACGCAAUGGGCGAAAGCCUGACGGAGCAACGCCGCGUGAGUGAUGAAGGUCUUCGGAUCGUAAAACUCUGUUAUUAGGGAAGAACAAAUGUGUAAGUAACUAUGCACGUCUUGACGGUACCUAAUCAGAAAGCCACGGCUAACUACGUG